UACGGAGGGUGCAAGCGUUAUCCGGAUUCACUGGGUUUAAAGGGUGUGUAGGCGGGUAUUUAAGUCAGUGGUGAAAUCUCCGAGCUCAACUCGGAAACUGCCAUUGAUACUAUUUAUCUUGAAUAUUGUUGAGGUAGGCGGAAUAUGUCAUGUAGCGGUGAAAUGCUUAGAUAUGACAUAGAACACCGAUUGCGAAGGCAGCUUGCUAAACAAUUAUUGACGCUGAGGCACGAAAGCGUGGGGGAUCAAACAGG
rnacentral:rRNA from 1 species